rnacentral:lncRNA from 1 species
GAUGAGAAUAUUGAUUUGGAAAUUCGAAGUAUUAAACAAUUGGUCUGGCCUUUGGCCAUGGUAAGGUAACUUCUGUUUUAUAAGGUUGGCCGAAUGAUAUCAUUGUUGUUUUCAUGUUUUCACGUUCGAUGAAAUGUUUGUGUGCUGACCAUGUUGUUUUUUUGGUUUCAGCCUGUUUUUUCUAACAUCCACCUUGGUCUCCUUCUCGAUCUUGCCUGCCUUGCUCUUGUGCUUCUCCUUGUCAGCUCAGGUAAAUGGACUGUUCUUUUGCUUGUCUUUGCACCGUUUCAUUAAAUGCUUGUGCUACUUCCAUUUUUCUUAUAGGCAUAGCUAAAUCCAGAGGUGUUUUGUAUUCAGAAUAAUAGGAAUAAAAUUUAGAGAAACACAAGUGUGCAGGCUGCCAAUUUAGUGCUCGUGUACAACCAUUCAUUAUUCUUCCUAUUUCUUUGUUCCAUUAAUUCAAGAGAACUACAAAAUGAUUAGGAGAGGUUUUCCCGCUCUUUAUAGUCAAGCUCGCCUAUCAGUUAGUGAUGGUGCUGGAUAUGGCCGCCAUGUAAGUUCUUCUACAAAACAGACAUACCCAAGCCUCUAUUGCAGGCAAGGUUUUCGCCUUGAGGUUCAUCCACUUGGAUGAAAGUGACCCAUGGUGAACUUUGGUUGUGGCGCAUGGUAUUAUUUUGGUACGCCGGUGUGUAAAUUUACCUGGUGGCUGUACGCUCUCGACCAAAAAAAAUUCAACGUGCGUAGCUACUCUGUUGGUGCGGCUAGCGAUAUUGGGUGCGCAUGGGCCAGCCUGCUCCGUUGACUUGCUUUUCUAGGGUUUAUACGGUGGUUGUAUACGUGGGCGGGCCUCCUUCCUUCUCUGGGCUGCGCGUCGCCCUUCGUCGACGUGUGGUGGGCUGCGUCAGUGUACGCGGUACCGCUUUGCGCUGGGAAGGCGGUGCCGACUCGACCGUCUGGCGUACAGCCUUCGAGUGCUUUUUGAUCGGUGCUGCUACAACAGUUUAGAUUUAAUUUAUGUUUAGUCUACGGCCUGCUAUACUAUUUUUGAUCGAUGCCGCUGUCGCCGUUGCGUCUACAGACUUUGCCGCUUAUAUAUCGCUGCCGCUUUCGUGGUGCAAUCUAGAGACCCUGAUAGAUACGUUGCAGGGGCUAUAAAUAGAUCGUUCUUCCUGCUAAGUUGUUCAAUGUAGGUCUUUGUUGCUGUCGCGUACAUUAACUCGAUGGUGGGCUCUUCUUUCCUUCUGUGUACGCACGCUGUGUACGUGCGGCCGAGUAGUUCAUCAGUCGACCGUCGGGUGCGGCCGAAUUUGGUUUACACAGGUUAAAUUACGUUAGCGUGGCCCAUGGUUUAGCCGGAGAGGUGUUGUGUUUUUUUUAUUGGCAAAGGGUGUUGGGAGCUGCGCGUGCGUGGUUGGUUGCAUGGGCUCUGCAUGUGCCUGCGUAAUUGCUUGGUCUACUCCAGAUUGUACGUGUGUGCUCGCCUGCAUGGCCCAUGCACGUGGUUGUGUAAUUGUUAGGUGUCUCGGCACGGCGUCGGCGGCACUAGCUACGCCGGCUCCCUGUUUUGACACGGCAGCGGCAAACAAGCGGCUCAAAACUAGGGCGUUUACGGAGCUGAUGAUGUUGUGGCAACGGCCGUCAUGGCGCACGGCGCCUUGGCACCCGUGGAGGCCGUGGAUGAGGAGAAGAACUUGAGGAAGUGGGGCAUCUGCCUGUCGGGGUUCGAGGGAAGGAGGAGAUCCGCUUUUUUGUCACGAAAGGGUGCGGCCAUGGAUUCCACGUCGUGUGCCCGUGUGCGUCGACGCCUGACUCCUACGUACAGUUUAUGUGUAUCGACUGCUGCUAUUCCUGUAGUCGGAUAUGGCUGAUGCUUACCUUCGAGAAGUUUAAUUCCCGCAUGAAAGGUAGGGGGGGACAACAGAGAGGCUAUUUUAUCUAAUACUCUACAAAAGUGACAUAUUUCCAACUAUGUUUAAUGUUGUCAAGCCGCUGACAAAAUUGGAGCACCUUGGCCGAUAGAGAAAAAUAUGAUCUUAAAUGUUGUUCUUCUGUUAUCAAACUCAUUCGAUGCCAACCAGGGAGAAUUGGGACCUAAUGAUGCUAUAGCACCUGCAAAAUGGUGGUGCAGCCGUGCAGGAGUUCGUAAUGAUGGGACUACAUCCGGCGAUAGAAGAUUUUGCUUUGUUUAUUAUAGAAUGGUCAUGUCAACAUUUCAAAAGAUGAUUCAAAUCCUAAAACCAAAGCUACUUCUGAUGUGUUUCUUGCUUACCGGUGCUGUGGUUUGCUUCUUUAGACUUGCUUACGCUCAGCAAUAUCUCUUUUCUAUUCACUUGUUGGAUCAGUUCAGUCAGUAUUCUGGGAAGAAUACUUCUAAGUAAUUAGAAGUGCCAUGCAAACCCUGGGCAGCACACCCUUUUGUCCAUUGGAUCUUAAUCUGAGGGUGUAGGGAAAAAGUGACUGAAACUUAAACUAAAUUAAAGCGAACAAGCAAAAACUGAAUAAUUAAUUAAAUAAUCAACAGGUCAAAUUUGAUAUCAGCAUACAAAGAAUUUCUCACAUAACGUAUCAAUAGGCGCGGCGUGCCGCCGCGCGGGCAUGGCUAGUAUUUACUAUAUCUAUUUUAUUGGGAAUUUCAAGUGAUUUUCCGCUGUUAAACAACUAUUGUUCUAACAAAAUCUAUGUUUCAAGCAUGUCUUCAAUAUUUACUUUGAAAAAACUAAAUAAGAAAUUUUUCGUUAUAGAUUGGGUUAGAGAACUGACCAAUCUCGUCAUCGCCAUCCCUCCCAAUUUUAAUAUGGUAAAAUAAACUGUGUGCCAUACCUGAUGAAAAUACAUAGCCAUGUGGUGGGAGUUUUCCUUCCUGUAGUUUUUAGUGUGUAAUGACACAGUGUGAUUAAGCUAAUCUUAGAGAUUGUUAAUGUCAACUCUCUUUUCAUCUGAUUUCCAUUUUUGACAUGGACAUAUACCAUGUGGUAUACUCCCUCUGUAAAUAAAUAUAAGAGCGUUUAGAUCACUUCCCUCCGUAAAGAAAUCUAAGAGCUUUUAGAUCACUAAAGUAGUGAUCUAAACGCUCUUAUAUUUAUUUACGGAGGGAGUAAUAUUUAAGAAGAAUGACUUGGAAAUUUCAAAUAGAUGGUUACUCUUACCCGUAGUUUAUUUGGGAGUGAGAUAUGUAUGCUGAUAGCGUCUAGAGAUACCUUCUAAUCAAUAAAAAUAAGAUCUGAUCGUGCACUAUAUGUUGAUUCUCUUACAUAUGUAUUAUGACAAAAUUAAGGCACAUAUGUUGAUAUUGGACUGAUAACCUUAGUACAUGAAAAGGUGUUGAAAAGGACGCAAUCCUUCAAAGAUAUGUAGUACUCCUGUCCUAAAAUAAGUGUCUUAACCUUAGUACUUUAGUACAAAGUUGAGACACUUAUUUUGAGACGGGAAUAUGUUAUAGGAUCCUCACUUUAUUUGUACCCAUAUGUUGUAAGGAGAUUAUCUUGUCCACUUAUUAUUCUUAUUAUUUGUCCUUUUCGUAUUAAUCGUGAGCUGAUGUUAAUUUGCAUAUUAGUCCAAGAACAACAAUUGCUCUUUGUUGUGGCAUUACUAGAGAAAUACAAAGGUAUAUACCCGCUUCCCACUACCCAGUCGAGGAGAUCCCUGAGGCAUUUGAAUCUUGUGGGACUCCCGCACAUCUUAUAGGAGCAUCAACAAGUGGAUGGGCCUAUCCAUUUUUAAGAAAAGCUUUAGGCCUUGUUCGGUUGACAGGGAUUUAGGAGGGGUUUGGCAGGGAUUGAGGUGGAUAUAAUCUCCCACAAGUCAAAAUCCACCCAAAUCCCCUCCAAUCCUCUUAAGAAGAGGUGUAACCGAACAAGGCCUUAGAUGUGUUCAGACAGUUUCUGAUUCAAACGAAAACAAAUAAGAAAGGAUAUAUUGAUUAUAUUACGUAAACUUAUUUGAUUUUCCAGUGAAGUUCAAACUUGAGAACUUAUUCGAGUAUUUAGUGCAAAGAUAAUUAAAUGAAGUUCCCAAAAUGCCUCUGUCGGUUUUAGUUGCAUUUGAAUUUUUUUAUUUGGAUCCUUGUACAUUCAAACAGUUUCUGUUUCAAAAGCAAACAACUGAGAGAAGAUAAAAUGCUGAAGCAACACCCUAACAGUGGUUGCAGUAGAUCUCUCUCUCUCUCUCUCUCUCUCUCUCUCUCUCCAUUUUGGUUGACCAUUCUUUCUUUUCUUAGGUCUUCGAUCCGCUUUCUUCUUCAACGAAGCUGACCAUGAUCUCCUACAUGUGUUGCCGUGCUCCCUGAAGCAUCCUUCUCUCUUCUAGAUCCAACUCUUUUCGUUCUGGUUUUAACUAUGCUUAUGAUUGCCUGUCUUGCCUAUAUUCAUUCGCCAUACGCAAGUCUACUGGUGCGUGCCAACGGAAAUUAUAUUUGCAUAAUCAGAUUAGAUUAUAUGAUUUCCUGACCUUGAUUCCCCCUCGAUUGGUUACUAAAAUAUAUGUACAAUUCUUCCAUUCUGUGCUUACAAUCGCAAAGUUAAUGCCUUCAAUUUACUUAAGCUAUAGAAAUCCGUUUGAUUUCCUCUAGACAUAGGUAUCAUUGUAUUCCUGAAUCCAUUUGAUUUCAUGUCUCUGCUGUUAUAUUUAUGAUCUUGUAAUCGCAUGUCAUCGGUUUGCUCAGGGGUUAUUGGAUUCUUGAUGGUCAUGCAUGCUAAAACUUUUUCGAUCAUCAUUCUUAAUAUACACUCCAUUUACAGCUUGUGCCUAACCUUUGGAUUUAUCUUUUUUCAAAGUGCUCCUCAUGGAGUUGGUUGAGCUAUCCAACAAGUUUCUGGCUGACGUAAUGUUUGAAAAGCUCUUGCUCCUAAACCAGUCUACUUCGUAAGUAGCUCGAGUAGGGUGGAUAUGCGUGUAGUUGAGUUUUACCCCACAAAGGAGCAUCUCCACAUUUCAGUAGAAUGAAUUGCGCUGUCAAG